AUGAUGAGGUUUGGCAUAGGGAAAAAGUAUUGUGACGUUACAUUCUUUAUGAAUGAAGACCCUCUUCUCCAUCAACCACGGCGGCACGACAUCUCAACCUUUGCUCUUCCUUCUACAAAAGCUCUGUCGUGCUUCAUUCCAGACUCAUCUCCGUUUCCCCUCGCCUCGGAUCCAACAUAUCCAUUCAAACUCCGAUACCGAAAUAUCAUUCUCCUUAAAGCUUUAACGGCGACGUUUCUUCUUCUCCAUCUUCUGUUCGACCUUUGA